ensembl:lncRNA
CAAGGUUACAUCGGUCUUCUGGGUGUGAAGAGAAGCAGCAGUAUAAAGGACGGAGACGGAGACGCAGCAGGCACAUCUUCCUGAGAGACUUCACUGAUCUCCAUCUUCAGAGCUCCGUCUCCCUGCUGCUCCACCCGACCUCCACAAGGUAAGAGCAGCUGCAUCCUCUUCCUCUCUGCCCGACUUCAUAUCGACCAAAUGCUCAUCGCUGUUAUUAUUUAGGAUCUUUUAAUUCCUUGAUUCUGCACCAAAUGUUCCGUGGUUUAGCUCCACCCGUGUGGAGUAAACUCCAGUCAGUAUGAUCUCAGAAGCUUUGAGUGUUCCUCUCCAAAAAGCAGGAACCCUUCAGCACCAGUAAUACUUUGUGUUUCCUCAUCCCGUCCUGGGCCUCAUCUAACAGCUCACAUGGAGCCUUUUGUACUCGUACUAACUCGGUGAAGGAGCUUCCCUCUAAGGAGUCCACUCAGGCUCCAUGUGGUGGCUUUAGAGACAACAAGGAGCCUUUUGAGAAGCAGGAUCCUCCACACUGUCCCUCACACUGUGUGCAUGGAGGGACUAAAGAGUGUUUCUCCUGUCUCUACAUGAAGAGUCUCUCCACCUGUUCCUGCCUCUUCUCCACCAUGAAGACAGGUGCUCUGCUCCUCCUGCUGGCAGUUGCUGACUGCGAAGGUCGGGACCCUGACUGUGGAUUCAUGGACUAUUGGAGACAGAUUAUUGAUCUUUGAUGUGAGCUCCUGCAGGCACUCAGGUGUCCCUUUACGAUACGGUGAGAAGAUAUCGGACCCAGAGAACUGUUCCACUUUACUCUGUAGUACGUCUGCAGUCCUCGGUCCCGUCAGUUCAUGUGAACCCGGAGACGUUUGCCUCGGCAACAACACAAAAAAAGAUCUAUUUGACAGCCGGACACAGCUGGGAGGAACCGGAGCACCGUCCAACAUCUGGAGGAGAGCCUGAAACCAGGAGAGAGGAGGUUGUCAGAGCAGCACACUAACAUCAGGAGUGACACGCACAAAGACACACACACACGAGCAGAGAGAGAGAGUGCAGAGGGCGAGUUGGGCGAGCUAGCGCUCCUCUCUCUCUCAAAGCUGCGUGGUCAGUUACGGAUUCCUGAGGGACGCCAUCGACACACGCGUGUGUGUGUGUGUGUGAGAAAUUAAUCAUUUUGCAAUUUUAACAUGAAAAAGAAGUGACAAAAAAUGUCAUGUUGCCCCGAACAACAUGAAAUCUCUGCUUCAAAAAAACCAAC